AUUAUUUGCAUUUGCAAUUUACAAAUUAAAUUUUGUUUUCUGGAAUUUGAUAAUAGAUUGACUGCUUCUCUCUAUGUAUAUGUGGUUUUCUAUCUUACAUUUUUUCUGGCAUUUAUUUCUGGAAUUCUGAUCAGAAAACGGCAGAAGACGGGUUGCCGCUGCCGCCAUGCACAAGUCGUAAAGCUUCAAUUACACGUUCUUGGUCAGCUCUGGCUGCCUUGGGAAGAGUUUGAUUCCAUGAGCAAGACAAGAUGAUUGGUUUAGUGAAAGUUAUCGAGGUGGGAUGGGUGCUCAUCCGAGAAAGGGAUAUGCAAACAGAAUUUGUGGCUUCAGAAUGAAUUGAACAACUAUUCAUAAACUUAUUGUUCACUUAUUUAUAAUAUGUUCAUUCAUAAAAAUCUGUAAUGUAUUAAUUUAAUUUAACUUAUUGUUCAGAACUUAUUGAGUGAUAUUCAUUACUGAAUAAUAUUUAUUCAGAACAUAUUAAUGUUA